CUCUCUCUCUCCCUUAUCCUCUUCUCUCUCUCCCGUCCCCCACGCCUCUCCUUGUUCCUAGCCACUUCUCUCUCUCUCUCCCUUAUCCUCUUCUCUCUCUCCCGUCCCCCACGCCUCUCCUUGUUCCCAGCCAAUAUCCACCUCCACCUACCGCCGUUCCCCAAGCCGCCGACGAGCACCAGGUCAAGCUCCGCCGCCCCUACCUCCUCCUUCCUCCUGCCUGUCUUCCUCGUUCUCUAUCUCUCCCCCAUACCUCACCCCUUGCCCUCUCUCUCUCAGGCAGUCGACGCCAUGGACGGCUGCUGAGCUUCGCGCCACCCGACGUCAACCGCAUCGCCGCCCCAAGGGAUCCGUGCGCGUGGCCGCGCCGCCGGUGUGUGCGGCCGCAGCAACAGGUUCGGCAAGGACUCUCGGCCCUGCCGCUUCAUUGCUCCUGCCCAAGCCGGCCUCCGCUUUCUGACCCCGCCACCGGCGAGCUGCCAUGCCCGUCCUCGUCGCACUGGUGCUAUCCUCUAGUAUGCUUGCUGGCUGCGACCAGAGCCCUGUACAUAUUUGGUUGUUGCUUUCUUGAUGGGUUUUAAGUGGAUCUUAAUUUGAUGUAUCCUGGCACUUGUCCAUGUGUAAAUCUGAUGUGCAGAACACUUAGAAGUUGCUACUCGUAGGAUAUUCUUGCUCGUAUGUGUACACGUGAAGAAUGGCUAGCUCGUAGAUCCGUUUUCUUUUUGUUAAAGAAAUAUACAUUAAUUUUUAUUUAAUUUGUAUUGCAAAUCUCUGUAGUGAC
rnacentral:lncRNA from 1 species